rnacentral:misc_RNA from 1 species
UUUUUGUAAACUUUUAAUAUGCAUUGUUCUAUUUUCACGUUUUUGGAUAUUUAUUUCUAAAUGCUGCAAUUUUUUCUGAAGUGUUGUGAUAUAUUUUUUCUUCAAAUAAAACAAUUUUGUACAUAUGAUUUUUUUCAUUUUCCAUUUCAUGAAAAGGGAAAUAACUCUGUACUGCCAAAUUGAUUCUAAGGUGUAAACUUGGUAUUGCAACAGGCAUAUAAUUUGAAAUAAAGUGUGUGUCUU